rnacentral:rRNA from 1 species
UUCAAUCCGUGUCUACCGUGCGCGUCGAGCGCCCCGCAAGGGGAGCGGCAGACGGGUGAGUAACGCGUGGGAAUCUACCCUUUUCUACUGAAGAACGCUGGGUAACUUGUGCUACUCCCGUAUGAGCCCUUCGGGGGAAAGAUUUAUCGGGAAAGGAUGAGCCCGCGUUGGAUUCGCUAGUUGGCGGGGUAAAGGCCUACCAAGGCGACGAUCCAUAGCUGGUCUGAGAGGAUGAUCAGCCACAUUGGGACUGAGACACGGUCCAAACUCAUACGGGAGGCAGCAGUGGGGAAUAUUGGACAAUGGGCGCAAGCCUGAUCCAGCCAUGCCGCGUGAGUGAUGAAGGCCCUAGGGUUGUAAAGCUCUUUCACCGGUGAAGAUAAUGACGGUAACCGGAGAAGAAGCCCCGGCUAACUUCGUGCCAGCAGCCGCGGUAAUACGAAGGGGGCUAGCGUUGUUCGGAAUUACUGGGCGUAAAGCGCACGUAGGCGGAUUGUUAAGUGAGGGGUGAAAUCCCAGGCUCAACCCUGGAACUGCCUUUCAUACUGGCAAUCUUAGGAAGGUUCCCCCAAAAAAAAAAAAAAAAAGGGGGAAAAAAAUGGGGGAAAAAAUUUUUUUCCCCCCCCCAAAGGGUUGGGUGUAUAAAAAAGGGGGGGGGGGAAAAAAAAAAAAAAAAUAAUAUAUUUUUCUUGUGGCAUAACAAAAAAAAAAAAAUUAAUUUUCUUUUUUUUUUGACGGGUGGGGGA